rnacentral:misc_RNA from 1 species
GUUCGCAUCUAGCCUCGUGGUACAAGCGAACAAAGGAGCAAACCCGAGACAGCGACGGGACGCCAGCCCCUCCACGUGCUGGAGGAGGACCCCUCAAAACGUCCGCCACGGCGGACACGCACCAACAAACGCCCUGAGAGCAGCCAUUUCUAACGCUUACGCAACCCAGUCCGCCCGUGUCUCUGGUGACACCGACACCCGUGGCAUCUCUCUCGUGACUCCCGGAGCAGAGGCAUGGACACCGCGGCGGAGCUGGAGCUGGGGCUGGAGUUGGAGCAGAAGCCGGCUGCGACGCCCGGGCGCACGGCGCCGGGUCGCGCCACGCGCGCGUCUGGCUGUGCGAGGUCUGCGAGCAUGCCCCCGCCGCCGUCACCUGCCGCGCCGACGCCGCCGCGCUGUGCGCCGCCUGCGACGCCGACAUCCACUCGGCCAACCCGCUCGCGCGCCGCCACGAGCGCCUCCCCGUCGCCCCUCUCUUCGGCGCGCUCGCGGACGCGCCGCAGCCCUUCCCGUCCCCGGCCUUCGCUGCCGCCGCGGGGGCCGAGGCCCCAGCUCAGGGGGAAGCGGUGGCGGAAGACUACGGGAGCAGCGAGGCCGAGGCGGCGUCGUGGCUGCUCCCCGAGCCCGACAACAGCCACGAGGACAGCGCCGCCGACACGUUCUUCGCGGAGUCGGACGCGUACCUCGGCGCCGACCUCGACUUCGCCCGGUGCAUGGACGGCGUCAAGGCCAUCGGCGUGCCGGUCGCGCCGCCCGAGCUGGACAUCGGUGCCGGCAGCUUUUGCUACCCCGAACACUCCAUGAACCACAUUACGCCUUUCAAUCCCUCCUUAUUGCAGUUGUCGUCAUCCUCGGAGGUGGCGGUGGUACCGGACGCGCAGGCGGCCGGCCUGCCGGUGGUGGUGGUGGUGAGCAGAGGGGAGGAGCGGGAGGCGCGGCUGAUGCGGUACCGUGAGAAGCGCAAGAACCGCCGGUUCGACAAGACCAUCCGCUACGCGUCCCGCAAGGCGUACGCCGAGACGCGGCCGCGCAUCAAGGGCCGCUUCGCCAAGCGCCGCUCCGCGGAGGGCGAGGACGAGGCGCUGGAGCACGAGGAAGGGGCGUGCUUCUCGCCCACGGGGUCGGCGCCCGCCGCGUCGGACGGCGUCGUCCCGUCCUUCUGUUGAGGGGAGAAGACGACGACGACCCCGGCAGACGGCUCCUUAACUUUGCCAGCUCUGUCGACCCUGAACCCUUUUUUUCCCUCCCCUCUUCUCUCUUUUGAUCGAGGGGUUGCCAGCUCUGGAUCUGAAAUUCUGAACGCAUGGGACGCGAGCUGUGUGUAGCAUGAAUAACUGCGUAGUUUGUUGGAUGGACGAACUCAAUCGCGCUCGCAUGGAAUGGAACUCUUGUAAUCCACCCUUUGUACAUUACCAUCUAGAGUUGCUCCUUUUUUCCAUGAGCCAUAAAUGAGUGCACCUGCUGCCUAUUAGUUGUUGCCCUUUUGCUGCUCAUAUGCAUCACUGCAGCAUUUGGUUCUCAGAAAGGAUCGUUCAUUCAGCCAGCAUCCAGCUAUCCAACUCUCUUGCUUGCAGUUGUUCCGGACAAAGUGAUUGGUUGGUAGAGCAUCGAUUCGAGCAUCAGAGCACGUGAGAGUGAAAUGAAAACUGUGAGCUGCUCGGCAGUUACCCAAACGGGGUUGCUGGUAAAUUUCUGGUUUGGGUCGAAUCAAUGAAGCCUUUUCAGCCGUUGGUGGCUGCAGGUGAAGUUGCAGCUAGACGCCGAACCGGGUUAGCACGUACGUACAAUACAGUACACACUACCACCGCCACGUGACUCAAACGUACCCCUGCGGCCCUGCCCCCACUGUG